rnacentral:lncRNA from 1 species
GAUUGUGCUGCUGUGCACCCUGCCACUUGAGCAGCUGUGUCCUGUCCUCUUAAGAUCCUGGCUUUGGAUUUGACAGACAUGGUCUCCGCAGUCUGCAGACAGUGAAACUAAAGGCCAGUUAUGUUUCUUCAAAGGAUAACUUCCACAACCAAAGAAGCUACCCUGAAGAAGAGUAUGUAUCUCCAGAGACAUUUUUGUUUCCAUUUUAAGAAACCUGAUCCUGCUCCAGCAGACGUCAAUGAAGUCUCAUCAUUAACCAUGAAGAAAACGAAAAACCAUCCUCUCAGAAAUCAUUGCAGCCUAUUCU